AAGACAUUUCAUUGAUCAAAGAAGAACAUAUAGCCAGCCUUCCUACAUCUGAAGUCCCAAAUUUUAGUUCAGCAGCCAAGCGAAUCACCGCAGGAGAUGCAGAGUUUGCUAAGAUUACCAUCGUUAUGAUAACCAAGUUGCGCCUUAGAUAAGGGAUGUCUGUCUCGAGACCAAUCAAGAACACGAAGAGCACGCGAAAGAUGAAUGAAAAGAGCUGAUAAUAAGCUUCAGAAGAAGCUUGAAUGAAGAAGUUUCCGACUUUGUCAAUUCGAGACAACAUGGAAGGACCCAACACCAAUCCAGCCUGAUGCAGAACAACGGCAAUCAGCCAAAUAUUAGUUAUGUAACUGCAUUACUUCUCGAAAAAGACAAAAAAACAAACCUACGCAGCCUUACCCCUGCAUUGCAGAGAGGCUGUUUCCAUGGUUUAAAGCUGAUCAAUGAUCAAUGUCCCAAAAAUAUUGAAGACUUGGGAUUAAUCUUACGAGGAUUUGGGCGAUCGGACCAGGUUGUCCCAAUGGCUUCAAGACAAGAUGGAAGAAAUGGGAGAUGACAAGCAUGCAAGAAGCUUGAGUUCCUGUUGUAAUGAGAGGGUUAAAUGGGUCAUCUUGACACACUGCUCUUCUUGCUGCAUCCAUUCUUUAGAAAUCCAAACAAAUAAAAUGUUGUUGAUAAGAUUGCUGUGAAGAUUGAGGAAGACAAAUCUGAAUCUCUUCUGGUUAUUUUCUUUUGUUUUUUCUUUGUUGUUGUUGACAAUGUCCAUGGAGGAAAAAGAGGUAAAAGGAGGUGAUUUGGAUGCA